GGCCCGUUAGCUUAGUGGUUUAAAGCGCCGCCCUGUCACGGCGGAGAUCGCGGGUUCGAAUCCCGCACGGGUCGCCA
rnacentral:tRNA from 1 species